rnacentral:lncRNA from 1 species
GGCGCCGGCCCCGUCCGCCCCGCCCGCUGCACGCGCGCUCUCCCGCGCGGACCCGGAACUGGCGCUGCCCGGGGCCGGUCCAUCCCGGAGAGAGCGGCAGCGCGAGCCCGGGGCGGGGGGGAGGGGGAGGCAGUUGGAUCGCCGCGCGGCCUCCUGCAACGUGCGCGACCCGGAGCAAGUGGCUGCACCUGAGCCCGAUCUCUAAAAAUGGGACUCUCGGGCCACACGCCUCGCUGAGCAUCCCAGGCCCUUUUGGAGGCGCCGAAAGAAAGCAGAGGUGCACGGGACAGGAGGAUGCCCCCAGAGCUACCUGCUGCAGCAUAGCUGUGGGGACCACACAGAACAAGGCCCAGUCUGAGACAGCAUGGGAUGGGGGAGCCCCGUGGAGGAACAGAGAAAACAUUUGUGUUGCCAGAGGGAAGAAAGGAAGGACAGCACUGAGCCACCAAUCAAUGAAUCCUCCUUCUCUGGGAAAUAGCAAGACGGGGGACCGAGAGCAGCUGAGACGUUGGUGUGGUGGAUCUCCUGCCACAUGGAAACGUGAAGGCAGAAAAAAGAGGAUGUUCUCCACCAAUAGACACCUUGACAAAUCCAAAAGAAUGAGAACUCACCGUCGUAAGUAAGCCUCCAGAAUUACCUCUUCUGGAGCAUAGACGUCCCAUAGUCGGUGCUCGCACUUUCCUGUAAAGGAGCACAUGGCUGAGAUUCUCCAGUCCACAAACCUGCAAGUCGAGACCAGCGUUCUCCAAUGGAAACAGAAUGCAGACCACAUACGUAAUUUACAGUUUUCUAGGCCAUUUUAAUGAGAGUAAAAAGAAACAAGUGAAAUCAGUGUUAAUAACAAUUUUACUUGACCCAGUAUUUCCAAAAUAUUAUCAUUUCAACAUGCCAUAUAAAUUAUUAGUGAAAAAAAAAUGUUUUUAAAUAAAUAAAAAUUAAAAAAAAUAAAAUUAUUAAUG